AGCGAACGCUGGCGGCAGGCCUAACACAUGCAAGUCGAACGAAGUCUUCGGACUUAGUGGCGGACGGGUGAGUAACACGUGGGAACGUGCCUUUAGGUUCGGAAUAACUCAGGGAAACUUGUGCUAAUACCGAAUGUGCCCUUCGGGGGAAAGAUUUAUCGCCUUUAGAGCGGCCCGCGUCUGAUUAGCUAGUUGGUGAGGUAAUGGCUCACCAAGGCUACGAUCAGUAGCUGGUCUGAGAGGAUGACCAGCCACAUUGGCACUGAGACACGGCCCAAACUCCUACGGGAGGCAGCAGUGGGGAAUUUUGCGCAAUGGGCGAAAGCCUGACGCAGCCAUGCCGCGUGGAUGAUGAAGGUCUUAGGAUUGUAAAAUCCUUUCACCGGUGAAGAUAAUGACUGUAGCCGGAGAAGAAGCCCCGGCUAACUUCGUGCCAGCCGCCGCAGUAACAC
rnacentral:rRNA from 1 species